rnacentral:rRNA from 1 species
AAUAGAUACCCUGGUAGUCCACGCCGUAAACGAUGGAUACUAGCUGUUGGGGGGCGACCUCAGUGGCUAAGCGAAAGUGAUAAGUAUCCCACCUGGGGAGUACGUUCGCAAGAAUGAAACUCAAAGGAAUUGACGGGGGCCCGCACAAGCGGUGGAGCAUGUGGUUUAAUUCGAUGAUACGCGAGGAACCUUACCAAGGCUUAAAUGCAGACUGACCGUUUUGGAAACAGAACUUUCGCAAGACAGUCUACAAGGUGCUGCAUGGUUGUCGUCAGCUCGUGCCGUGAGGUGUCAGGUUAAGUCCUAUAACGAGCGCAACCCCUGUUGUUAGUUGCCAGCGAGUAGUGUCGGGAACUCUAACAAGACUGCCAGUGCAAACUGUGAGGGAGGUGGGGAUGACGUCAAAUCAUCACGGCCCUUACGCCUUGGGCUACACACGUGCUACAAUGGCCGGUACAGAGAGCAGCCACCUCGCGAGGGGGAGCGAAUCUACAAAGCCGGUCACAGUUCGGAUCGGAGUCUGCAACUCG